UUAUUCGGAAUCACUGGGCGUAAAGGACGCGUAGGCGGGUUGGAAAGUCAGAUGUGAAAUCCUACAGCUUAACUGUAGAACUGCAUUUGAAACUUCUAAUCUAGAGUAUGGGAGGGGGAGAUGGAAUUAGUGGUGUAGGGGUAAAAUCCGUAGAUAUCACUAGGAAUACCGAAAGCGAAGGCGAUCUCCUGGAACAUAACUGACGCUAAGGCGUGAAAGCGUGGGGAGCAAACAGGAUUAGAUACCCUGGUAGUCCACGCCCUAAACGAUGAACACUAGUCGUCGGGAUGCUAGUCAUCUCGGUGAUGCACUUAACAGAUUAAGUGUUCCGCCUGGGGAGUACGGUCGCAAGAUUAAAACUCAAAGGAAUAGACGGGGACCCGCACAAGCGGUGGAGCAUGUGGUUUAAUUCGAAGAUACGCGAAGAACCUUACCUGGGCUUGACAUCCCAAGAAUCCUGUAGAGAUACGGGAGUGCCCUUUCGGGGGAGCUUGGUGACAGGUGCUGCACGGCUGUCGUCAGCUCGUGUCGUGAGAUGUUGGGUUAAGUCCCGCAACGAGCGCAACCCUCGUCCUUAGUUGCCAGCACUUAGGGUGGGCACUCUAAAGAGACUGCCUGGGUAAAGGAGGAGGAAAGUGAGGACGACGUCAAGUCAUCAUGGCCCUUAUUUCUAGGGCGACACACGUGCUACAAUGGGUGUACAUNAAAC
rnacentral:rRNA from 1 species